rnacentral:lncRNA from 1 species
UCUGGGGAGUAGUGUUAUCUUGAAGGGCCUGGGGAUGAACUUUAUUUAAACAGGGAAAACUCUAGGUAUCAGCUCUAGGAAAAUAGAGCUAGAAUUACAGGGUCAGCUCUCAAGGAAACAGAACUGGAAUCUAUACAUGGACUAAGAUAACCCGCUGAUUACACAGCCCACCAGGGAGAACUCUAUACACUCCCAACAGGGAGAAAACAGGAGGAACAUGAUUCAGAAAGAAGACAAGCAGCCUGCACCUCUCCAAGAUUGAAACUCAUCAAUGAUACCCUCAAACACCGUGUCAGCAUAAUUCUGCAAUGUCAAAUAUCCUGAUAUUCCAUUCUUUCCAAAAAAAUAUUAACAUCAGCCUACAGUUAUCAGGAAACUUAUAUAGUGAACUACCUACAGUGUAAAUAAAACUAUUAGUACAAAGCAAGGGUACAAUUAUUCUACCAUCUAUACACACUCCAAAGUACACACGAAUGCAGCUACUUUUAUUUCUUUUUCUAAGUAGGCGAUUAGGUGUGCAGAACGAUGCAUCGCACAACAUUUAUCAAAAAUAUGUUUCUUUUCAGAGCCCUUGCAGAAACCCAAAUUAUGAAUGCUUUGAACAAAAAUAAUAGCAGGUGCUUCCACAGAAUAGCAGAAUAGUACCCCACACUGAAAUAGGGUAUAAACUAUUUGUUCGCUAGCAUGUACCACUAUCUAUACUAGUUUAGAUGGUAGAAAAUGAGUAGAUAGUUCGCCUCUUUCUAAAUAAUUUUAUUUCCAGACCAACACUUCAAUUUGUUGCAGACGAACAGUUUUGAUCUAAAAACACAAAGCAUGCUAGGAGCACACUAUAUAGGGUGUGAUGUAUCCAGGGAAGGUGGCAACAACUGGAAAUAAAUUGGACCAUGUGGUAAGAUAGAAGCUUAGUGAAUCAUUACUGUCGUAAUAAAGGUGCUACAUAAUUCUCAUAUAUAGGUCAGAAUGUUACUGAAAAGAUAGUAGAGUACUUACAACUACAAGGCACGUAGAUUUAAAGAAAAUAUAAGAGAUUUGACUGAACCAAGGACAAAUCUUCUCCCAUGAGAUUGAUUUGAUAAAUUACUGAAACUGGAAUUAUCUUAGAGGGUUCAAUCAAAUACUAGAAGAACUGAUGAUAGAGAGAUUAAUCCCAUAAGGCCUAAAUGCACAUGGAAAGAAGUAUGCUUUCUCAAAAUUAUCUACAUCCAGACCAUGGUUAUCAAAACAUUGCAGCUUGUAGUCCAGACUGCAAUAUAGCAAAUUCAAUCUGCAUACCCUCCUAGAACUAAUUAUUACAUGUACAACUUGCCAGAAUAGAGUUUAGGUAUCUAGGAUCAGCAAUCAAGGUUCUGAAGAUGUUCGACAUCUGGUCAAAGUCUGACUGGUUGACUCUAUGCCUUUGAGAGCUGUUGAACAGAAACAUCGGGUGGAAGAUUUGCCUACGGAAGUUACAUGUAGCAAAUCAAAUAGGAACAAUACAUUAUUCCUGGGAUAAACUCACGGAAAGAAUUUGGAACCAAAAUCCAAUUUCUUUUGCUCGCUAAUUUUGGUCUACACAAGAGAACAAUCAAAACCAAUCUACUGUAUUUUUUUCUAUUUUUCUUUAUGAGGCCUUUGUUGGCAUGUCUACAUGAACCAACAAGAAGCACAUCUCAAACCGGGCUGCAAGUGCUUGAUUGCUAAAUAAAUGUUAAGCACGAUUCAAGAACAAAAUCACCUUUUUCAUUGCUCUAAACCUCUAGUUGCCUGCCCAGUCCGCCACACUGUUAUUGGCGAGUCACCUCUUCUUUGUCUGCCCGUUAUUGGUUGAUUUCGGGGCCACGAUGUGGUUCCAGCCACCUACAGUAGCCUCUGUCCAGAAUCUGCGAGAUGUCGCUCACCCGCGGUCGACGUUCUUCCUUCUCUUUUGCUGGUGCAUUUGGAAGCAUCGCACCGACAUUGUGUUCCUAAGAAAAUGGAGAGUCUUAAUGGAGUUACAGAGUCUUAAAUGCAAGAAUGAAAACACAUGUAAGCUUAUACAGUAAAGUCUAAAUAACAUCUUUCGACAAAAGAGGCUCAAGCCUUGUGUCAUAAGAAGCAAAGAUAGUUCACUGGGUACCGGUUCUUAAAGGAACUCCUGAAGAUAACAUACAAAGUGCAACCGAAGCUGCAAAAAUCCCCACGUAGCAAAACACACCUAAUAACCUAGGGAAGACACCCAACACACGCACCAAGUAACAAUGAUCAAAUAGAAAAGUAGUUAUAGGAACCUAAGAAAGAAAAGGAAACAUCGCAUCAGAACUCCUAGAUAUUGCAAUGAUCUCAAGAGGAAAAUUGAACGGCAUGUUUUUUCAAUUGACUAGAAAGAAUUAGAAUUAUGUGAAGUUAUGUCCAACCUCCAGAACAGAGUCACUUCUCAAAAUAACAAGUUAUAAUGAUUGAGAGAAAACACUGCUGAACUACAAUUACAGAUAAACAAAGAGGAGGAGAGUUCAUCAAAGCACUCAGGAGCUUUACGCAAACCUAUUCCGGCAGAUUGUUCUGCCUCCUUUUUUUAGCGAACCAGAGAAUAAUCCUUAGGCCAAACUAGCGAUUUGGGAAGAGAAAGCAAUUUAGGAAGAGCAUAGCAAAGUGAAACGUAGGUGGAAGUAGAUUGGAAAUUUGCAACUGAUAGAGUCAGAUCUGGGGUUGCUCACCUCAACCCGUGCACUCACACCCAACCAAAAUUCAAUCCAAAUGGCAAGCAACGCCUUCACGUAGCAGCACAAGCACGGGCACGCACUUGAGCGCCGCUACAAUCACUCGCCAUAGCUCCGCCGCGACGACCACGCAUGACGCCGCCCAAGACCUAGGCAGACGCCGCACACCACGCCGCGCCAACUGCCCAGCGACCACCACAACAUCGAGACCACGCCGCCGAGUAGCGCGCCGCCCCGGCAGCCAGCCAACCGAUGGCUUCACUCAGAUCCAAAUCGCCGAGCACCACGCUGCCGUCUCUUGCGUGCUGGUCACCGCCGAUACUCACAAACCGUUCGGAGGCGCGGCUCUCUUUUUUUCAGAAAAAGGAUGGGCAAGGGGGUAUAUUCGAGUCAAUGCAUAAACGUAAAAUUACUUGCAUCCCG